rnacentral:rRNA from 1 species
UGAGCAACCUGCCCUGGACUUUGGGAUAACCCUCGGAAACGGGGGCUAAUACCGGAUAUUACUGCUGGCCGCAUGGUUGGUGGUGGAAGGUUUUUCGGUCUGGGAUGGGCUCGCGGCCUAUCAGCUUGUUGGUGGGGUAAUGGCCUACCAAGGCGUCGACGGGUAGCCGGCCUGAGAGGGCGACCGGCCACACUGGGACUGAGACACGGCCCAGACUCCUACGGGAGGCA